rnacentral:rRNA from 1 species
GACGAACGCUGGCGGCGUGCCUAAUACAUGCAAGUCGAACGAACUCUGGUAUUGAUUGGUGCUUGCAUCAUGAUUUACAUUUGAGUGAGUGGCGAACUGGUGAGUAACACGUGGGAAACCUGCCCAGAAGCGGGGGAUAACACCUGGAAACAGAUGCUAAUACCGCAUAACAACUUGGACCGCAUGGUCCGAGUUUGAAAGAUGGCUUCGGCUAUCACUUUUGGAUGGUCCCGCGGCGUAUUAGCUAGAUGGUGGGGUAACGGCUCACCAUGGCAAUGAUACGUAGCCGACCUGAGAGGGUAAUCGGCCACAUUGGGACUGAGACACGGCCCAAACUCCUACGGGAGGCAGCAGUAGGGAAUCUUCCACAAUGGACGAAAGUCUGAUGGAGCAACGCCGCGUGAGUGAAGAAGGGUUUCGGCUCGCAAAACUCUGUUGUUAAAGAAGAACAUAUCUGAGAGUAACUGUUCAGGUAUUGACGGUAUUUAACCAGAAAGCCACGGCUAACUACGUGCCAGCAGCCGCGGUAAUACGUAGGUGGCAAGCGUUGUCCGGAUUUAUUGGGCGUAAAGCGAGCGCAGGCGGUUUUUUAAGUCUGAUGUGAAAGCCUUCGGCUCAACCGAAGAAGUGCAUCGGAAACUGGGAAACUUGAGUGCAGAAGAGGACAGUGGAACUCCAUGUGUAGCGGUGAAAUGCGUAGAUAUAUGGAAGAACACCAGUGGCGAAGGCGGCUGUCUGGUCUGUAACUGACGCUGAGGCUCGAAAGUAUGGGUAGCAAACAGGAUUAGAUACCCUGGUAGUCCAUACCGUAAACGAUGAAUGCUAAGUGUUGGAGGGUUUCCGCCCUUCAGUGCUGCAGCUAACGCAUUAAGCAUUCCGCCUGGGGAGUACGGCCGCAAGGCUGAAACUCAAAGGAAUUGACGGGGGCCCGCACAAGCGGUGGAGCAUGUGGUUUAAUUCGAAGCUACGCGAGGAACCUUACCAGGUCUUGACAUACUAUGCAAAUCUAAGAGAUUAGACGUUCCCUUCGGGGACAUGGAUACAGGUGGUGCAUGGUUGUCGUCAGCUCGUGUCGUGAGAUGUUGGGUUAAGUCCCGCAACGAGCGCAACCCUUAUUAUCAGUUGCCAGCAUUAAGUUGGGCACUCUGGUGAGACUGCCGGUGACAAACCGGAGGAAGGUGGGGAUGACGUCAAAUCAUCAUGCCCCUUAUGACCUGGGCUACACACGUGCUACAAUGGAUGGUACAACGAGUUGCGAACUCGCGAGAGUAAGCUAAUCUCUUAAAGCCAUUCUCAGUUCGGAUUGUAGGCUGCAACUCGCCUACAUGAAGUCGGAAUCGCUAGUAAUCGCGGAUCAGCAUGCCGCGGUGAAUACGUUCCCGGGCCUUGUACACACCGCCCGUCACACCAUGAGAGUUUGUAACACCCAAAGUCGGUGGGGUAACCUUUUAGGAACCAGCCGCCUAAGGUGGGACAGAUGAUUAGGGUG